ACAGAUUAAAGGUGCAAGAUUAGAAAUACAGAAAAUUAAUGUAGGUUACUGUAAAAAGCAUCCUAACUAGUUGGGCUACUGCUAUUUAGAAUCUUGAGAGGUAUAAACUGAUGAAAAAAGAGAAAGCAAGGUGCUUUAUGACUAUACAUAACAAGAGCCUAGGCAAAAUUAACCUUUGAAAUGCCUGAAUUAGUGUCAAGGCAAAUUCCUGACGUCAUGGCUGUAAAUUGGAAUAGGGAUACCUUAUUGCUGAUCACAGUCAGGCCCUGAACGGAACCUCCAGCAUCACAAUAGAUCAUUCAGGCUAGUCCCAGCACCACAACAUUUAAAUUGAAACGAGCCAGGAACAAAUCAUUGGGUUAGAUUUAUUUUAUCCAACUUAAGUUCCUCUGAAUGCUACAGUAAAUAUCAGGCACUUACAAGAUAUGCAAGAUGGAAGGUGUCUACACAUGAAAUGGGCUUGCAGGAAGCCAGCUGAAUACAGCUAAUGGUGUCUAGAGAGAUAAUGAGGACAACCUGGAGGAAACACGUGCAUCUGAACAGCUGAGGAAAUCUUGAGUUUCGCUGACCACGAUGACUGAGGACCACACAUUCGGGGCUUCUCUUGAUCACUGCAUAAGCAGCUGGGGCUGUUUGAGGUAUUCUAGAAGAGCUAGAGAAAACUUCACUGGACCAAUUAGAGGCAAAGCAGAAUAUCCUAAGAAAUUCCAUGGGAAGAAAAACGUCCCUCUUGCUGAAAAGGCUUUUCGAUGGAAGCAGAAAAAGGUUCUUAUCCUGUGAACAUUGUCCUACAUUCUGGACAUCAGGCUAGAAGACCAGAACAACAAAAAAAUAAAUGCCAUCCUUCCUGAGCUUGAUUCUGUGCCUGCAGAGGCACCUCUGAAUCUCCCUGGGUCUCUUCUCUUACUGGAAUUACAAAGGAAAAAGCAAAAAUUAGUAUGAGCUAAAGGAAAGAGAAAAUACUUUCUAUCUCCCACAGAGAACAGACACACAGUUAAAGCCCCGAGGUCCUUGAUAAGAAGACAUGAAAGAAUCGCUUCCAAAACAUAAUCCGGUUCCCAAAGAUUUGCACUAAGAAAUCCCUGCAGGAGCUGACGGUGCCAGAAGCACUACCAACUCCCAUUCCAGUUCCUAUCCUGUGUGACAGGGCACAGUGUGAAGCUACACAGAAUACAUCCCAAAGUUUCUAA